UUAAAUGUUAUGACGUGGGCCUUACUGAAGCCCAAUGAGGCAGCCCAAGCCAAGGCUUGAGGGUGUUUUGGUCAUUUAACUAAAAGGUGUUUGCUGCUUUAGCUUUCCCCACGUGGCCACCUGCAAUUGUGCUGGAAAAAGUCAUCCACCAUUCAAAGAUAAGGGCCGGCUUCGUGUGGAAUUCGGCAUGGGAGCGGACAUACACUGAAGAAGCCUCUCAAAGCAGGUUUGAUUAGUGUAAUAUUCAAUGGAGAAGGAUUCUUCGCCCUCUUGGGAAAUAAGAAUUGAGACGCUGGUCGAGAAGGAUAUCUUAAAAUGGAGAUUAAGAGCGGCAAAUGAAUUCAUUGAUCACCGAA